AUGUGCAUGAAUGUGUUCUUAUGUGUGUGUUUGUGUACAUCAUCGCCUCACACACCUUGUCUUAAGGCCUGGAAGAUCCUCUCCUCCAGGUGUUACUUCUUCUCCACUGAGAGGAGGAGCUGGAGCAGCGGUCGGGUCGACUGUGUUCAACAGGGCGGAGACCUGGUGGUCAUUAGUCCAGAGAAACAGGUAGAAAGAGUGCUGUGAGGGGAGAGAGUGUGUGCCUCCACCCUCAGAGAGACCAACCCUUCUCGGAGCUGGAGAGAAGAGACCUGCAGCAUCAUGUCUGGAUGGAUCUGUGAGAGCCCAGCGCUCAUACGGUCAGAAUUUUUUAUUUUUUAUUUUACCUUUAUUUAUUAGGUAAAAUUAGGGAGGUAAGGCAAUAAAUAGUCCAUUGUGGCAAAGUAAUUACAAUUUAGCAAUUAAACACUGGAGUGAUAGAUGUGCAGAAGAUGAAUGUGCAAGUAGAGAUACUGGGGUGCAAAGGAGCAAAAAAACAAACAAAAAACAAUAUGGGGAUGAAGUAGUUGGAUGGGCUAUUUACAGAUGGGCUAUCUACAGGUGCAAUGAUCUGUGAGCUGCUCUGACAGCUGAUGCUUAAAGUUAGUGAAGGAGAUAUGAGUCCCCAGCUUUAGUGAUUUUUGCAAUUCGUUCCAGUCAUUGGCAGCAGAGAACUGGAAGGAAAGGCGGCCAAAGGAGGAAUAGGCUUUGGGGGGUGACCAGUGAAAUAUACCUGCUGGAGCGUGUGCUAUGGGUGGGUGCUGCUAUGGUGACCAGUGAGCUGAGAUAAGGCAGGGCUUUACCUAGCAGAGACUUGUAGAUGACCUGGAGCCAGUGGGUUUGAUGGCGAGUAUGAAGCGAGGGCCAGCCAACGAGAGCAUACAGGUUGCAGUGGUGGGUAGUAUAGUUGGCUUUGGUGACAAAACGGAUGGCACUGUAAUAGACAGCCUCCAACACUCUACUCAGCAAAUUGGAUGCAAUGUUACAAAUGACAUCGCAGAAGUCAAGGAUCGGUAGGAUAGUCAGUUUUACGAGGGUAUGUUUGGCAGCAUGAGUGAAGGAUGCUUUGUUGCAAAAUAGGAAGCCGAUUCUAGAUUUAAUUUUGGAUUGGAGAUGCUUAAUGUGAGUCUGGAAGGAGUGUUUAUAGUAUAACCAGACACCUAGGUAUUUGUAGUUGUCCACAUAUUCUAAGUCAGAGCCGUCCAGAGUAGUGAUGCUGGAUGGGCGGGCAGGUGCGGGCAGCGAUCGGUUGAAGAGCAUGCAUUUAGUUUUACUUGCAUUUAAGAGCAGUUGGAAGCCACAGAAGGAGAGUUGUAUGGCAGGUUAGUUAGGAGGUUAGUUAACACAGUGUCCAAAGAAGGGCCAGAAGUAUACAGAAUGGUGUCAUCUGGGUAGAGGUGGAGCAGAGAAUCACCAGCAGCAAGAGCGACAUCAUUGAUGUAUACAGACAAAAGAGUCACCCCGAGAAUUGAACCCUGUGGCACACCCAUAGAGACUGUCAGAGGUCCGGACAACAGGCCCUCUGAUUUGAUACACUGAACUCUAUCUGAGAAGUAGUUGGUGAACUAGGCGAGGCAGUCAUUUGAGAAACCAAGGCUGUUGAGUCUGCCGAUAAGAAUGUGGUGAUUGACCGAGUCGAAAGCCUUGGCCAGGUCGAUGAAUACGGCUGCACAGUAUUGUCUCUUAUCGAUGGCAGUUAUGAUAUCUUUUAGGACCUUGAGCGUGGCUGAGUUGCACCCAUGACCAGCUCGGAAACCAGAUUGCAUAGCUGAGAAGGUACAGUGGGAUUUUAAAUGGUUGGUGAUCUGUUUGAUAUGUUGGCUUUCGAAGACCUUAGAAAGGCAGGGUAGGAUAGAUAUAGGUCUGUAACAGUUUGGGUCUAGAGCAUCUCCCCCUUUGAAGAGGGGGAUGACAGCUGCAGCUUUUGCCAUAUAGACACACAGAACACAUUUAUAUGUAGCCUUAAAAUCCUCCAAUAAAAUAAAACAUUAAUUCUCGAUGGGACGUGAUUUCUUGUGGUAAUAGCAUAGCGGUGCUGGUCAUAGUACAAAGUGAAAACAACAGGAUAUUUAUUAGAUAUUCCGGGAAAAUGAUCUGAUAGAUCACUAUACUGUCAUCAGCAAUA
ensembl:lncRNA